ensembl:lncRNA
AAACCAAUCUUUUUCUCUCAUUCUAACCUAUCUCCAAGAUCUGUUUUUUGUAGGAAGAAUAUCCUAACCAUUGUAGAAAUGGUAACUUAUGGAAUGCACUCUCUCCUACCAGAUAUUUGAGCAAAUCUGCUUAGGUUUUGUGUCACCUUUAUUUCAUCCAGUCACCCUCAUCUUUUUGCUUCAGGGCAGAGUGACAGAGCAAGAGGCAACUUUGUUUAGAUUGCUCAGACUCACAACUACCCCUUUCCCUCUGGCUCUUUAGAAAGAGGGGAUGUGCCUAAUUUUUCACUCUGAUUUCUCUACCAUAAUUCUUCCCCUUUCUUCCUCACUCAACAUUAAUACAAAUUAAUUAUUUUCAGAGAAAAUGCUGCCUUUUGUGUUGUAGGUAUCAGCUAGAUCUCCCUAUAUAUUUUUACCACUUAUAUUUUCCUAUUUCUAAAAGCAUCUAUUGGGCACAUUGUAUUUGCCAGAACCUGUCAAAUCUCCCCAUGGUGAUGAGCUCAGAUCCAGCAGAGUCAAGCCAAUAUUCAUUUGUUUUCAAGCAACUUUUCUCUCCUGAUCACCCGGAAAAUCCUUCCAGAAUUACCAAUAAUCAUCUCAACAAAAAGUUGAAGAGAGCCAGCAGUAAAAAGAGAAAACAAUAGCUAAAAGAAGAAUCAAGAACAAAGCAAAAGGACUUUGUGAGGAAGGAAAGAAGCUUCCAGGGCUUCAGCAGAAGAAACAAGACCAAGUGGAGCAAAUGCAGUGAAAUCAGGACAUGAGAUCUUUUCAAACUACUUGUAGAGGGUGUUCUCUUUUCCUUCAUGCAUAGGUCAGCACAAACAACACACCCUAUUUCAAGGAGGACCUCUGUUGGCUUGUUAUUGUCAUAUGUCCCUGGAGAGAGAAGGGUAUGGACAGUCAUCUUCUCCAUCUUAGGAUACAGACAGCUGUGUCUCCCAAUUUGCCUCAUCUGCUGGCUUCCAGCUAGGUUUGUUCAUGAGAGGCACUCAGGAGAGAUUGGAGAACAGUGCAGGUGCAGAGGUGGGCGACGGAGCUCCAGGUUCCUGGCUGGACUGGGCGGUGACUGGAAGCUCCAGGACUCGCAACUUGAGAUUUCAGUAGAGAGGUGUUGUGGCAUGAUGUCCCGCAACAGGAGAGCUGACUAAUACAAUAAUCCCCCAAAGUGAUUUGGAAAGUACCUUAAACUGAAAAGAUGGGAACAAUCAGCAGCUGCAGAAACACUACUUGAGUAAAACCUUAAGAAAAAUUUAAAUUUAAGUAGAGUCUCCUAAGAUAUAUCUUCCACUGACCCUUCUCCAAGGGAGUUUCUUGCUUAUGAGAAGACAACCUUGUAUCAAAAAGUCUGAUAAAUAUUCUUGGAAGCCCAACUUCACCCUGACAUUUGUUAGAUUGAGUGAAAACACAUACCAAGAUAAUGCCUCUGAAUAUUCCUUCUCUACCCCAGUCACAUGAUAUUCAGAUCAGAAAACACUGAUCCCUGCCUGAUAAGCUAGCCUGGUAUCUUCAUCUCCAGAUAAAGCCCAUUACAAGUGCUUUGGCCUUCAGGUCUCUACCCCUUUCCUCCGAUCAUGGAUGCUCUUGCAGCACCUACCAGCCACUGCCACCUGAAAUGAGCAAAAGAUAAACAUAUCCAUGAAUAAGAACAUCUAUAGCAAAUGCUACAAACAACAGCCAGCAUGUAGCGGCUGAGGACAACACUUAGGAACAUGGCUAAGAGUGUGGACCAUUAUCCUCUGGUGCCAAUAUUUAAGUGAUGAGACUCUUUGUCCUGAAAGACUUGCAGGAGAAGGGCAGAGCAUCCUGGUUUCUUGCCAAAGGAGGAUUCAGAAUUGGUCUCAUCUUACAGGGGCACCAGUGACUAGAUUGAGGAACUGUCAAAACUGAGGAGAAGACCCCAAGCUGGAGGCCUGUCCCUGGUAUGGUACCACUGCAGUAGACCAGAGUGGAAGAGGAGGGUCCAGGAGUUCAGAGCACAUCAGGGACCCAGAGACAAUUGGGGACUCUAUGUAAUCUUGGAUUGUUCUGCAAAAGAAGCCUCAUUGGAGGCCAAUGGCCUGGGUGCCAGGCCGGGAGGAAAGCCUUCAUUUCCAGCUCACCCGGGAGAGGCAGAAGAUAGGAGGUGCUGUGGAGCAGCUGAGGCAUCUGGAGUCUGGAAGUGAUCUGGAAGCACAUACUGUACAGCUAUAGAGCUGAUAUGUUACUGUUGGCAUCAUUAUUCAUGGAGGGAGCUGGAGCAGUGAACUCGCUAGUGCAUUUGAAUCACUCAGAAGAAGAGAGAAAACUCCAAAGGAUUCCAGAGUUAAAAGGAUGUGAAGGAGUGGCUCUCUACUGUAUAAGAAACCACUGAAAAGCAAAGACAGCUAUGGUCCAGAGCGAGA